GACGAACGCUGGCGGCGUGCUUAAUACAUGCAAGUCGAACGGAAAGGCGCGGCGCUUGUGGGGCGCUCGAGUGGCGAACGGGUGAGUAACACGCGAGUAACCUGCACUUGACAGUGUGAUAACUCUAGGAAACUGGGGCUAAUACCGGAUAGGAGCUCCUGCUGCAUGGGGGUGGUUGGAAAGUUUCGGCGGUUUGGGAUGGUCUCGCGGCUUAUCAGCUUGCUAGUGGGGUAGGGGCUUACCAAGGCUUUGACGGGUAGGCCGCCUGGGAGCGUGACCGGCCACAUUGGGACUGAGAUACGGACCAGAAUCGUACCGGCCGCAGCAGUCGAAAAUCUUGCGCAGUAGGCGCAAGCCUGAUACAGAAACCCCGCGUGCGGAAUGACGGCCUUCGGGUUGUAAACCGAUUUCGCCUGUAACGUACCGUGCGUGACGGUAAUGAGUCAAAAAGCCCCGGCUAACUACGUG
rnacentral:rRNA from 1 species